rnacentral:rRNA from 1 species
AUUGAACGCUGGCGGCAGGCCUAACACAUGCAAGUCGAACGGUAGCACAGAGGAGCUUGCUCCUUGGGUGACGAGUGGCGGACGGGUGAGUAAUGUCUGGGAAACUGCCCGAUGGAGGGGGAUAACUACUGGAAACGGUAGCUAAUACCGCAUAACGUCGCAAGGCCAAAGAGGGGGACCUUCGGGCCUCUUGCCAUCGGAUGUGCCCAGAUGGGAUUAGCCAGUAGGUGGGGUAACGGCUCACCUAGGCGACGAUCCCUAGCUGGUCUGGGAGGAUGACCAGCCACACUGGAACUGAGACACGGUCCGGACUCCUACGGGAGGCAGCAGUGGGGAAUAUUGCACAAUGGGCGCAAGCCUGAUGCAGCCAUGCCGCGUGUAUGAAGAAGGCCUUCGGGUUGUAAAGUACUUUCAGCGAGGAGGAAGGCAUUAAGGUUAAUAACCUUAGUGAUUGACGUUACUCGCAGAAGAAGCACCGGCUAACUCCGUGCCAGCCGCCGCAGUAA